AUUGAACGCUGGCGGCAGGCCUAACACAUGCAAGUCGAGCGAGGGGCGGACGGGUGAGUAAUGUCUGUGAAAUUGCUUGAUGGGGGGGGAUAACUACUGAAAACGGUAGCUAAUACCGAAUACCAUUAGAUGUGCCCAGAUGGGAUUAGCUAGUAGGUGGGGUAAGGGCUCACCAAGGCGACGAUCCCUAGUUGGUCUGAGAGGAUGACCGGCCACACGGGAACGGAGACACGGUCCAGACUCCUACGGGAGGCAGCAGUGGGGAAUAUUGCACAAUGGGGGCAAGCCUGAUGCAGCAAUGCCGCGUGUGUGAGGAAGGCCUUCGGGUUGUAAAGCACUUUCAGCGAGGAGGCGUUACUCGCAGAGAAAGCACCGGCUAACUCCGUGCCAGCAGCCGCGGUAAUUC
rnacentral:rRNA from 1 species